rnacentral:rRNA from 1 species
CCUACGGGGGGCUGCAGUCGAGGAUAUUUAGCAAUGGGCGAAAGCCUGACUAUGUGACGCCGCGUGAGGGAUGAAGGUCUUCGGAUUGUAAACCUCUUUCGAUAGGGAAGAAAAUUCCGGUUAACUACUGGAACUGACGGUACCUAGAGAAGAAGCCAUGGCUAACUCUGUGCCAGCAGCCGCGGUAAUACAGAGAUGGCGAGCGUUACUCGGAUUUAUUGGGUGUAAAGGGCAGGUAGGCGGCUAUGCAAGUUGGGGGUGAAAUCCUGUGGCUCAACCACAGAACUGCCUUCAAAACUGCAUGGCUUGAGGCUAGAAGAGGAGAGCGGAAUUCCCGGUGUAAGAGUGAAAUCUGUAGAUAUCGGGAGGAACACCAGUGGCGAAAGCGGCUCUCUAGUCUAGCCCUGACGCUAAGCUGCGAAAGCUAGGGGAGCAAACAGGCUUAGAUACCCGGGUAGUC